rnacentral:rRNA from 1 species
AUCGAAAAAAACCACUGCUUUUGGUGGAUACCUAAGGACUCAAAGAUGAUGAAGGGCGUGUUAACCUGCGAAAAUUUUUGGUUAGUUGGAAAAAAACUUUAAUCCAAAAGUUCCCCAAUGGAGCAAUCCUUAAAACUACUGAAAAAUUCAUAAAUCGGUAAGAAAAAACUUAGUGAACUGAAACAUCUUAUUAACUAAAGGAAAAGAAAGCAAACGCAAUUUCCCAAGUAGCGGCGAGCGAAAUGGAAAAAGUCUAAACUGAUUAAAUCAGGGUAGUGGGACUUUAAAUAAAGAUAACAAAAAAAAAAUAAAAAACAGCUGAAACCUGUACCAAAGAUGGUGAAAGUCCAGUUUUAUUUUUUUUUUUUCUAUCUGAAGUAUCCCAAGUAGCUUGGGGCACGUGGAAUCCCUUGUGAAUCAGCGAGGACCACCUCGUAAGACUAAAUACUCUUGAGUCACUGAUAGCGAAAAGUACCGUGAGGGAAAGGUGAAAGAGACCCCCUGUCGGGGAGUGAAAUAGACCAUGAAACCUGAAGCAAUCAAUCUGUGGGAGGAAAUAUCUGACCACAUGCCUGUUGAAGAAUGAGCCGGCGACUCAUGAUUUUUGGCUUGGUUAAAGAAAAUUUCUGUAGCCUAAGUGAAAACAAGUCUGAAAAAGGCAAACAAGUUCAAAAGUUAAAAAGUCAAAAAUUAUGGACCCGAACCCGAGUGAUCUAACCAUGACCAGGAAGAAUCUUGGGUAAAACUAAGUGGAUGUCCGAACCGACCGAUGUUGAAAAAUCGACGGAUGAGUUGUGGUUAGAGGUGAAAUGCUAAUCGAACUCGGAGCUAGCUGGUUCUCCCCGAAAUGCGUUGUGGCGCAGCAUUUAUAGAUGUCCUGAACCUGAACCUGAACCUGAAUAGGUAGAGCACUGUUUCGAUGCGGGCCAGUCAAAAGGUACCAAAUUGUGGCAAACUCCAAAUUAUUCAGAUUUAUACCUAUAAAAAGUGAGACUUUGGGGGAUAAGCUCCAGGGUCAAGAGGGAAACAGCCCAGACCAUCAGUUAAGGCCCCUAAAUAAUAGCUAAGUGUUAAAGGAAGUUUCCAUGCUGAAACAACCAGAAGGUUCGCUUAGAAGCAGCUAUCCUUGAAAGAAUGCGUAAUAGCUCACUGGUUAUUUCUUUUUAGGAAAAAAGCGUGGAUGCGCCGAAAAUGUCCGGGACUAAGUUAUUUGCCGAAACUGUGGGCUCCGCGGUAGGGGAGCGUUCUGUUAUGAGGUGAAGGAUUUUUGAAAAAAAAUGAUAGAUCGAACAGAAGUGAGAAUGUCGGCUUGAGUAACGAAAACAUUAGUGAGAAUCUAAUGCCCCGAAAGCCUAAGGUUUCCUCUUCAAGGCUCGUCCAGAGAGGGUUAGUCAGGACCUAAGAUUAGGCUGAAAAGCGUCAUCGAUGGAUAACAGGUCAAUAUUCCUGUACUUAUUUUUAUUUUGAGACAAGGGACGAAGGCAACAAGUUUAAGCUCUUAAAAUGGUUCAGAGUGGAAAUGUUCAACAUAUGGUUUGAAAAAAAAAAUUAAACUUGACGGCCGCGAAGCGGACCGGUCAGUAUGAAGACAUGAUACGUUAUUUGAUAAAUUUAUUUAUUAAAUAAUUUGAAUUUUGUUAUACUUCCUAGAAAAGCUUGAGACUCUUAUAAUAAAAAUAACCUGUACCGUAAACCGACACAGGUGGGUAAGUUGAGUAAACUCAGGGGCGCGAGAUAACUCUCUCUAAGGAACUCGGCAAAAUAGCCCCGUAACUUCGGGAGAAGGGGUGUAUUUUUCUUUCCCUGAAAGAAAAAUUCCGCAGUGAACAAAUUCAUUGAACUUUUUAACAAAAAAAUAGGUCUCCGCAAAGUCGUAAGACAACGUAUGGGGGCUGACGCCUGCCCAGUGCCGGAAGGUUAAAGGAAUUGGUGAAAGCUGAUAACUGAAGCCCCGGUGAACGGCGGCCUUAACUCUGAAGGUCCUAAGGUGGAUUGCUGCCUUACUCAGUUGUGAGGCUGAUAUUUAUACUUCACUAUAUGCGAGAACAUGCUUAAAAGCUAUAAAUACACUAUAUUAAAUUUUAAUUUAAUAUUUCGUAAAAAAGUUAUAGACAUGGGCACAAUUCGCAGGAAAGACUUGAAAUAUUUUAUAUUUCAAUCAAGAAUCCUCAGAGACUAUACGUGAAGCUACUAAAAAUUAUAAUUUAUGGAAAAAAGUUGGAUUGUUGGUUUUGUAGAUGGUGACGGACAUUUUGGUUUUUCAAAAGAUUAUAAAAGAUUUUAUUUUGUAGUUUCCCAAGACAAAAGGUCUGUUUCUGUAUUAUAUGAACUUAAAAAUUUUUUUAAAUGUGGAUCUGUUAAUAAAGCAGGUGCUAAUAUGAGAGAAUAUAGAAUUUCUUCUAAAAAACAUUUAAUUGAAAUAAUUAUCCCAUUUUUUGAAAAAAAUAUUUUACAAACAUCAAAACGACAUAGUUUUGAAAAAUUUGCAAAACUACUAAAUUAUUCAGUUAAUUCAAUUGAAUCUAAUGAAUCUAAUGAAUCUAAUAUAGAUUUAUAUUGGCUUAUCGGAUUUAUAGAUGCUGAAGGAAGCUUUGUUUGUUCAAUAAUUAAUAAAACUAUUCGCCCUCAAUUUAUUAUUGGUUUAAAUCAUAUAGAUAAAAAUAUUUUAGAUAAAAUAAAAAAUUAUUUAACUUAUGGUAUUCGAUAUACUAGAAAAAAUUCUAUUGAGAUUUUUCAAAUUAGUUCAAAUAAAAAUAUGUAUAAUUUUUCAAAAAAAAUUAUACUGACUAAAGGAUUUAAAGAUCGUUUAAAAACAUAUAAACGUAUUAGAGCUAGAAAAUGGUGUAAAAUAGUUUUUCUUAUGGAACAAAAACAACACAAAAAUAUUGAAGGUUUUGAAAAAAUAAAAAAAUUAUAUGAAAAAUUUUAGUAGAAGAUAGAGUCCGGUCUAUUUUGAAAAAAGUAGAGUAAAAACAAUUUGAUCUUUUUAAAGAUUAUUAUUUUACGUAACAUAAACAAGCGAAAUUCCUUGUCGAGUAAGUUUCGACCCGCACGAAAGGCGCAAUCAAAUGAAUACUGUCUCAGAGAGAGACUCGGUGAAAUAGACAUAUCCGUGAAGAUGCGGAUUUCCUUACAUCAGUACAAGAAGACCCCGUGAAGCUUGACUGUAUCUUGAUAUUGGUUUCCAGUUAUUUUUGUGCAGUCUAGGUGGGAGAAUGAAAUUUCAUCAUUGAGAGACCACCCUGAAAUAACUAGAAAUCUUAAAGUGAUUCCUUGAAGCAGGACACUUGACAGUGUCUGGAGGGCAGUUUUUUUGGGGCGAAAACCUUAAUAUUGGGGUCUUUACAUAGUGAUAUGUAAAUAAACUUCGAGCUAUAUGCUGGAACUUCCGUUUCUUAACUCUAAUAAAACCGUUACGUUUUUAGAUUAAAGAAUGCAAAGUUGAUUAAUAGAAGAGAUGUUUUCUUUGUUUGGUCAGCUUUGCUGAUCAAUAAAAAUUAUCAAAUGCGGAUAAUCAGCAGGGAAGUUCGUCUCCUUACAGAGCCGCAACCCCCCAACGACUAAUACGCUCGAUUUCUAGUAUUUAUUAAUAGAAAAAAAUAUAGUCUGAACUUUCUGGAAACAGAAAGGCGAGCGCUACGCGCUUUCCUCUUAAAGUAAAGUAAAGAGAAAAAAAAAAAAAACCAAAGAACGCAGUAGCGGCCUAAGAGCCUAAGAGUCUAAGAGUCUAAGAGUCUUAGACUAAGAACGAAAAGCAAAAUGAUAAAAAAAGUUUGAAAUGAUUCAAUCUCAAAAAUUAAGUGAAUAUAAAAAAAGUUUAAAACUCUCUUCUAAUCAAAAACAAAUUUUAGUUGGUUUACUUCUAGGUGAUGGUCAUUUAGAAACACAAAAUAAUGGUCGAACUUUUCGAUUGUUCAUUGAACAAAGCUUAGUUCACGCUGAUUAUUGUGAUCAUUUAUACUCUAUUUUUAGUAAUUGGGUUUUAACACCGCCAAAAAUAUAUACACGAAAAAACGGAUUAAAAUCGAAAAGAUUUAAAACAUUCAGUCAUUCUAGUUUUCGUUUUUAUGGUUUUCAAUUUUAUGAAACUCUUCUGGGUACAACGGAGGCUGUCAAAAAACGAAAAAAACUACCUAAGUUAAUUACUCGUUGGUUAACAGCACAAAGUUUAGCUUAUUGGUUUAUGGAUGAUGGAUCCUGGAAGUCUAAAACAAGUUAUGGAAUAAUUUUGAACACUCAAAAUUUUUAUCUAAAAGAAGUUCAAAUUUUAUGUGAAAUAUUAAAAAAAAAAUGGGGUCUAAAUUGCUGGCCGAGAAAACAAAAAAAUAAAUAUUAUAAUAAAAUUUAUUAUCAAAUAUAUAUUUCAGGGUCUAGUUGUAAUCAAUUUGUACAACUUAUUUCUCCAUAUUUAAUAAAAUCUAUGCUUACUAAACUUCCUCCUCUUUAUUUAAAAAAAGUUAAGAGAACAUUUUUGCCUAAAAGGUAACGGAGGUUUGCAAAGGUUUCCUCAAACUGGACGGAAAUCAGUUGUUGAGUGUAAAGGCAAAAGGAAGCUUGACUGCAAGACUUAUAAGUCGAGCAGAGGCGAAAGCCGGCCUUAAUGAUCCGACGGUAACCAAGUGGAAGGGCCGUCGCGCAAAAGAUAAAAGUUACUCCGGGGAUAACAGGCUUAUCUUCCCCAAGAGUUCACAUCGACGGGAAGGUUUGGCACCUUAAUUUAGGGGUCGUAUUUUAUAAAUAAAAUAUGUCAAUUUGGCUAUAUGCUGGAACCUCCGUUCACUUACGUUGAAACGACCUUAAGUGAUUAGUAUCUUUUGUUAUUGUUAUCUGUAAACAAGGAAGUACAAAAGUGCGGACAAUCAGCAGGGAAGUUCAGCCGGGUCUCGGCCGUAACCCCUCAACGACUACACGCCAAACAUCCUUGAUGAGGGAUGAUAAUAUAGUCUGACCUACUAGGCGACUAGUAGAUUGUUUAUACUAUUUAAAAAAUAUAGUAAAAACAAAAUUGGAAUAAAUUUAAAACUAAACUUAACAUGACAUUAACACAAUUACAAAAAGAUUUAAUAUUUGGUUCUCUAUUAGGUGACGGUAAUCUCCAAACAUGUUCCAAGGGUAGAACUUGGAGAUAUAGAGCCAUUCAAAAAAGUGAACAUAAAGAAUAUUUAUUUAAUAAAUAUGAAAUAUUAAAAAACUUAUGUGGGGUUACAGUUGUUCCAAAAGAAAAUGAAAUUUUAGAUAAACGAACAAAUAAAUUAAUUAAAAGAUGGUCUUUUAAUACAUUAACAAAUACUUCAUUAAAAUUUUUUGGAAAUAUGUUUUAUAGAUAUGAUUCAAAUAAACAAAAAUGGACAAAAAAAGUGCCCUUAAAAAUACAAACUUUUUUAAAUCCUCGAGCAUUAGCUUAUUUUUAUAUGGAUGAUGGGGCAUUAAAAUGGCUUGGUCAUUCGAAUGCUAUGGGUAUAUGUACUGAGAGUUUUAGUCUAGAAGAUAUUCAUCGUAUCAAAAAUGCAUUAAAAAACUUGUAUGAUAUAGAUACAAAUUUAACAAAAAAAAAAUUAAAAAGUGAAGAAAUUCGUUUUAGAAUUUUAAUACCGGAAAAAAGUAGUAACUCUUUUCGUGAACUAAUAAAACCAUAUUUAAUAGAAUGUAUGAAAUAUAAAGUGUCUGAUGGAAAUUAUGGUCAUCUUUAAAUUAAAAGUUCCAUUUUAACAUAGUGCGAUGUUGACUUUUCGCAACCUGGGGCGGUAGUAUGUCCCAAGGGUUGGGCUGUUCGCCCAUUAAAGCGGUACAUGAGUUGAGUGAAGUUCUGAGCUCAACUGAAAUUUAACUAUAUGCAGGAACCUCUUCUUAAAGAAGUAACUUACAUUCAAAGUCAUUAAAUUUUUAAUGUUUAUAACUUCGUGAAUGUAAAAAAAGUGCUUACAUGGAGAAAAUCCGCAGGAAAGACUUGAAAGACUUGAAAGACUUGAAAGACUUGAAAGACUUGAAAGACUUGAAAUUCAAGAAUCCUCAGAGACUAUACGUUAAACAAAAUAAAAGGGAAAUAUAAAAAUAUCAAAGAAUCAUGAGAUAUACUAAUAAGGAUGAUUAUGAGUGGGUUGUUGGGAUGAUUGAUGGUGAUGGUUAUGUAGAUUUAGAAAGAACAAAAAAAGGUAACCACUUCUAUUAUAGGCCUGUACUAGCUAUUACACAAAAAGAAAUAAAGCUUUUAUAUAAAAUAAAAAAAAUUUUAAUUGUAGGUCGAAUUUCAAAACGAUGGAUAUUAUCAUUAUAGGGUCCGAAGCCGAAAACUUUUUGAAGAAUAUUUAAUACCAAUAUUUGACAAAUAUCCUUUUUUGAGCAACAAAAGAAUACAAUUUAAGCUUAUUGUUCGAGGUCUAAAAAUCUUAAAAAAUUAUUCAAGUAAAGAUGGAGAAAAACAACAAUGUUUAGAUAAAUUAAUCCAAUUAAUCCGAAAAGCACGUCUUCGAAAAAUUUCUAAUACUAAACUAAUAUCUCAAGCCUGGUUUGUUGGAUUUUUUGAUAGUGAAGGUGGCCUUUGGCCUCAUCUAGGACAAAAGGAACUUCUUAUCAAUAUAGAUUUACUAUAAAGAUCACUCAAUCUUCAAUACAUUAUUCUUUGCUUAGAUCUAUAAAAGAUCUAUUAAAAAUAGGGGAUAUUUACAAAGAACGUUUUUCCGAAAAUCAAAAAAUUUAUUAUUGGGGAGUUACAAAUCGUAAAAAAUUAAAUAAACUAAUAGAUUUAUUUAAUAAAUACCCAUUAAAAUCAGAAAAACAGAUUAAGUGGAUUAAAUUUCUAAAACUUUUACGUAUUCCACCUACAUCCGAAAAAGCAAAACAACGAAUUCAUCGACUCUUAUUAUCUUUUUAAACCAUGGAGUAUAUCAAUUACAUAUACCCCCUUCUUUAUUUUGAAGAUAGAGUCCCAACCAAAUUGAAAAAUUUGGAGAAAUAGAUUUAAGGAAGUAUUUAAGAAUUUCAAAAUCUAUUCAAGAAAUUAUGUCAGAACGUCGUGAAAGUCUCGCGACCCCGCAAAGUAAUUUGCGAGAAAAAAUUGCCUCAUAUCGGUGAAACCCUUUUGACUUAGAGAAAAGCGGUAACCCCGAGGGAAGUCAACAUUCAAUAUAGGAAAAAAAUUGUACCUAUGAAAAUACAAAAUAAAUGGAAAAAGCUUAAAUGGAAUAUGAAAAUAUCACAAGAAUUACGUGAUAUUAUUCAUGGGUAUAUUAUGUCCGAUGGUUAUCUAAAAAAUAAUGGUAUACUGACAAUUGAACAAGGUAAAAAACAAAAAUCAUUUGUUUGUUGGUUAUAUAAAAAAUUUGAAAUUCUGAGAAAUGAAAAAAAAAUUCGUUCACGUACUCCCUUAGAUAAACGAACAAAUAGAGAAACUUAUUCUUAUAUUUUUAAUACUCGAGCUUUGCUGAAAGGUUUUCAUCAUAUAUGGUAUAAACCCGUAAAAAAAGGUGGUCGAGUUAUUUUUCAGAAAAGAUUACCAAAAAAUAUAAGUUGUUUUUUUUCUAUUCCAUUUAUAACUUUAUGGUUUGCUGGAGAUGGAACAAAAAUGAUUGGACAAAAAGGUGCAAAAUUUGAAGUAACAAGUUUAACAAGUAAAGAACGACAAAAACUUCAGCAACUUUUUCAACAAAAAUAUAAUAUUUCCACCAAAAUUAUUAGAGCAGGUCAAAGUCAAAAAGGAACUAUUCAAUGGACAUUAUCAAUACCUGCACCAGAAUAUGAUAAAUUUCGAAUUUUAAUUACUCAGAUGGAUUUAAUCCCAAAUCUUUUUCCUUAUAAAUUAUGUAAAAAAAAUAAUGUUUGACCCCGUAACGACUUUGCCAUAAAAAAUGGCAAGAUAAUUAUUCUUCCUUCAUACUUCAUAGUUAAGUAAUAGUGAUUAUAAUACGGCAACUCCUUUUUAGGGAUGAAAGUAUAGUCUAUGCCUUCAGUAAUGAAGGAUAGUCAUAGAGACAGUUUGGUCUAUAUACGAUGUAAGCGUUAGAAUAUUGAGAGGACUUUUCCAUAAUACGAGAGGACUUGGAAGAACGUACCCCUGGUGUACCAGUUCUUAUACCAAUAGGAUGCGCUGGGUAGCUAUGUACGGAAAAGAGAACUGCUGAAAGCAUCUAAGUAGGAAACUUACCUCAAGAUAAUUAUUCUCCAUUAGACUCCGGUUAGAUAACCCGGUUGAUAGGUUUUAGGUCGAAGAUUUGUAAGAAUUGGAGCCAAGAAAUACUAAUGAUCAAUUGUUUUUGAU